GGUUGAGAUCAUACCAGCACUAAUGCACCGGAUCCCUUCAGAACUCCGCAGUUAAGCGUGCUUCGGCGAGAGUAGUACUAGGAUGGGUGACCCCCUGGGAAGUCCUCGUGUUGCAACCC
rnacentral:rRNA from 1 species